GAUGUUUUGAAACACACAAAAUAAAUAGGUUUAGAAAGAAUGACUUGGUAGCGUUUGGUUCGGGAACAAAGGGGGGAGGGGGGGAAUAAGCCCUUGUUCCCCCUUUUGUUUCCAAACGGUAUGUUUGAUUCCCGAGAACAGUAGUUUUCAGAUUUCUGGAACAAGCUGGUAUAAGGCUGGAAUUGCUGUUCCACCCGUUUCCUGGAACUAGCUUGUUCCUUGAUGAGAACAAGGUUAAUUAAAAUCUAAAUUUAAUUUUAAUGGCAGUAAAUUAUUAAUUAAUCUAAUUAAUAUAUUUAAAUCAUUAUUUAUUACUUUAAUAAUUAAAUAAUUAAAUAAUUUAUUAUUUAUAAUUAAUUAUUAAUAAUUAGAUAAUUAUUAUUAUUAAUUUAUUAUUAUUUAUAAUUAAUUGUUAAUAAUUAGAUAAUUAUUAUUAUUAAUUUAUUAUUUAUAAUAUAUUAUUAAUAAUUAAUAAUAUUUAUUAUUAUUUAUUAAUAAUUAUUAUUCUUAAUGAUAAUCAAUAUUAUUAUUGAUUUAUUAUUUAUAAUUAAUUAUUAAUAAUUAAUAAUAAUUAUUAUUAUUUAUUAAUAAUUAUUAAUAAUUAUUAUUCUUAAUAAUUAGAUAAUAGAUAUUAUUAUUAAUUUAUUAUUUAUAAUUAAUUAAUAAGAAUAAUUAAUAAUUAUUAUUAUUUAUUAAUAAUUAUUAAAAAUAAUAAUAAUAAUAAUUAAUUAGAUAAUCAAUAUUAUUAAUUUAUUAUUUUAUAAUUAAUUACUAAUAAUUAUUAUUAUUUAUAAUUAAUUAUUAAUAAUUAAUUUAUUAUUUAUUUUUAAAUAAUAUUUUGAUGUUAAUUAAUUACAUAAUAUAAUUUUAAUUUCAAAUUAUACCUCUUAUUCCUCUUGUUCCAAUCUAACCAUCCAAACACUAUUUACCUUAUUCCUAGGAAUAACUCAAUUUUCAUCCAAACGCAAAAUUGUUCUAGUUCCUGUUUAUACCUGAACUUGUAUCUAUCUCUGGAACUAGCAGUUCUUACUUAUACCCGAACCAAACACAACCUAAUUAGGGUUUAUGCUGUUUGGCGUGAAGUCUAGACUAUUAGCAAUUCAGAGAUCUCACUUUGUGAGUGUUGAGAGCACGUCAUGAAAGUAGAAUUUCGUUUUUGAGAGUGGGACCGACCGUACCUAGUCCAAGUGGCAAAGGACUUGAUGGUUGGUACCCGAGAUCUCAAGUUCGAAUCUUAGUUGCUUCACAUUUUUAGCUAAGUUUGUUUCUAAAUGAAAUAAACGAAGCGGAUAGCAUAUUACCUAUCUCUUAAAAAAAAAAAAUAUUUUUAAGAGUGGGAAGUUGGCGAGCAAAAAAUUUGCAAGUACAGU
rnacentral:lncRNA from 1 species